GCGGAUGUGGCGAAACUGGUAAACGCAAGGGACUUAAAAUCCCUCGCCCUAGGGCUUGCGGGUUCGAUCCCCGCCAUCCGCA
rfam:Ruegeria meonggei strain CECT 8411 genome assembly, contig: 0015